UACGUAGGGGGCGAGCGUUGUCCGGAUUUAUUGGGCGUAAAGAGCGUGUAGGCGGCCAGGUAGGUCUGCUGUGAAAACUCGAGGCUCAACCUCGAGACGUCGGCGGAAACCAUCUGGCUAGAGUCCGGAAGAGGAGAGUGGAAUUCCUGGUGUAGCGGUGAAAUGCGCAGAUAUCAGGAAGAACACCCGUGGCGAAGGCGGCUCUCUGGGCCGUAACUGACGCUGAGGAGCGAAAGCAUGGGGAGCGAACAGG
rnacentral:rRNA from 1 species